AUCAAGUCAAAGACGGACUGGAGUUUAUUUGAACGACACACCCCUUCAAAUGUUCUAACGUCCAGAAUGUCCUCAAAAAUGGUCCCUCAGGGCAAUAAUGACACAUUAGGGCAAUUGAGUCCACAACAACGUCGAGAAGGAAAAGAUGAUGAGUAAGAAGAGACACCCCAGACAUGUGUGGAUGGGGGAAUUUCUGUCUGGUAUGUGCCAGGCCACAACAAAGAUGAGAAUACUGUCAGAUGGCGAACACAAAGCAUCCGAACACAAAAAGCGGAGAAGGAAGCAAGAGGGGAUGAUCUUCAUUUUCCCCCGGCCGACUCAUGAUGGUGUGCAAAGGACUGACUAAAUGAGUUCAGCUGUGUUACAUUUGGAAAUUCCUUGUUUUCCUGUGCAUGAUGAGACGGAGUUUUCUAAUGAAUGUUUGUAGAUUUUAUUCAGGCUUUAAAAAUGCUUUAAAGUCAUUGAUGUUGAUUGUGAAGCAUCUGGGAGCCACAUGAUGCGGGCACAAUACAACCUUAAAAAUGCCCGUUUAAAAAAACAACCCAAUUUGAGUUAAAUCUUUUUUUUUUUUUUGCAAAACAACAUAAAAUUGAUUCAAAUUAACCUGGAUCCAAUUUUUAAGCCAGCUGUAUACUUUUAAAACAAAAUAGCCACAAUCUUAUUCAAUUGAUAAAAAAAGCAAUAAACCGAGAUGAAAUAGUUCGAAAUGAUGAUCAAAAGUUUAUGCUUGCAA